rnacentral:tRNA from 1 species
GCCACAGUAGUAAAAUUGGAUUAUGUUACUUUGAUGAGGUAGAGUUUUUUAUGUGGUU